CGACGAGGGAAACCUGUGCGGUGGGACCGCCGUAACCCCGCCGGGAAUUCGCAAGAGUGCUGCACAAUAUUAAGGCUGGAUGGAAUGUCGAAAGAAAGAAAAAGGAAAGAAGGAAGGAAGGAAGGAAGAAACAAAGAAAGAAGAAAGAAAGAGAAAAACCCUCUUUAAACAAUCGAGGGUAAAUGAAAUAAUAAGACAGGAAAACGCAAGCUUUCAUGCUCACCAAAUGCUACAAGUUGUGCUUCUGUUUGGCGGAGCCUAAUGUACACCCAGAGCUCUGGAGCAAGAUCUGGGCAAAGAAGUAUUUGCUUUCCAGACUGCAAUGGAGUGAGGAAUUCUGAAACAAGGUUGGAAGAUGUACUGAGUAAGCCAAUCACAAUAUUCACCACGAAUAUUAAACUGUAUUGAAGCUGAGCAAAUAAAAAAAUAAUUAUGAGGAAGCCUCAAGUAAUUUUGAAUAUUUUAUGGACAAAAAAAUAAUAAUUGUAAAAUUGAUUGUAAAUCUAACUUAUAAGAGGCAUGGAGCACUUGGAAGUGUGAUGUAUGUUUGCC